AGAGUUUGAUCCUGGCUCAGGAUGAACGCUGGCGGCGUGCCUAAUACAUGCAAGUCGAGCGAACGGACGAGAAGCUUGCUUCUCUGAUGUUAGCGGCGGACGGGUGAGUAACACGUGGAUAACCUACCUAUAAGACUGGGAUAACUUCGGGAAACCGGAGCUAAUACCGGAUAAUAUUUUGAACCGCAUGGUUCAAAAGUGAAAGACGGUCUUGCUGUCACUUAUAGAUGGAUCCGCGCUGCAUUAGCUAGUUGGUAAGGUAACGGCUUACCAAGGCAACGAUGCAUAGCCGACCUGAGAGGGUGAUCGGCCACACUGGAACUGAGACACGGUCCAGACUCCUACGGGAGGCAGCAGUAGGGAAUCUUCCGCAAUGGGCGAAAGCCUGACGGAGCAACGCCGCGUGAGUGAUGAAGGUCUUCGGAUCGUAAAACUCUGUUAUUAGGGAAGAACAUAUGUGUAAGUAACUGUGCACAUCUUGACGGUACCUAAUCAGAAAGCCACGGCUAACUACGUGCCAGCAGCCGCGGUAAUACGUAGGUGGCAAGCGUUAUCCGGAAUUAUUGGGCGUAAAGCGCGCGUAGGCGGUUUUUUAAGUCUGAUGUGAAAGCCCACGGCUCAACCGUGGAGGGUCAUUGGAAACUGGAAAACUUGAGUGCAGAAGAGGAAAGUGGAAUUCCAUGUGUAGCGGUGAAAUGCGCAGAGAUAUGGAGGAACACCAGUGGCGAAGGCGACUUUCUGGUCUGUAACUGACGCUGAUGUGCGAAAGCGUGGGGAUCAAACAGGAUUAGAUACCCUGGUAGUCCACGCCGUAAACGAUGAGUGCUAAGUGUUAGGGGGUUUCCGCCCCUUAGUGCUGCAGCUAACGCAUUAAGCACUCCGCCUGGGGAGUACGACCGCAAGGUUGAAACUCAAAGGAAUUGACGGGGACCCGCACAAGCGGUGGAGCAUGUGGUUUAAUUCGAAGCAACGCGAAGAACCUUACCAAAUCUUGACAUCCUUUGACAACUCUAGAGAUAGAGCCUUCCCCUUCGGGGGACAAAGUGACAGGUGGUGCAUGGUUGUCGUCAGCUCGUGUCGUGAGAUGUUGGGUUAAGUCCCGCAACGAGCGCAACCCUUAAGCUUAGUUGCCAUCAUUAAGUUGGGCACUCUAAGUUGACUGCCGGUGACAAACCGGAGGAAGGUGGGGAUGACGUCAAAUCAUCAUGCCCCUUAUGAUUUGGGCUACACACGUGCUACAAUGGACAAUACAAAGGGCAGCGAAACCGCGAGGUCAAGCAAAUCCCAUAAAGUUGUUCUCAGUUCGGAUUGUAGUCUGCAACUCGACUACAUGAAGCUGGAAUCGCUAGUAAUCGUAGAUCAGCAUGCUACGGUGAAUACGUUCCCGGGUCUUGUACACACCGCCCGUCACACCACGAGAGUUUGUAACACCCGAAGCCGGUGGAGUAACCUUUUAGGAGCUAGCCGUCGAAGGUGGGACAAAUGAUUGGGGUGAAGUCGUAACAAGGUAG
rnacentral:rRNA from 1 species